rnacentral:rRNA from 1 species
UACGGGGGGGGCAAGCGUUGUUCGGAAUUACUGGGCGUAAAGGGCUCGUAGGCGGCCAACUAAGUCGGACGUGAAAUCCCCAGGCUCAACCUGGGAACUGCGUCUGAUACUGGAUGGCUUGAAUCCGGGAGAGGGAUGCAGAAUUCCAGGUGUAGCGGUGAAAUGCGUAGAUAUCUGGAGGAAUACCGGUGGCGAAGGCGGCAUCCUGGACCGGCAUUGACGCUGAGGAGCGAAAGCGUGGGGAGCAAACAGG